rnacentral:rRNA from 1 species
UACGUAGGGGGCGAGCGUUGUCCGGAGUUACUGGGCGUAAAGCGCACGCAGGCGGUCUGCUAAGUUUGGAGGGACAGUUGGUGGCUUAACUGCCAAAGUGCUUCGAAAACUGACAGACUUGAGGGCUUCAGAGGGACACGGAAUUCCGGGUGGAGUGGUGAAAUGCGUAGAGAUCCGGAGGAACACCAAAGGCGAAGGCAGUGUCCUGGGGAGUACCUGACGCUCAGGUGCGAAAGCCAGGGGAGCAAACGGG